GUGCCCUUUUAAGGUUGAUACAGUGCCUUAAGAGGCUAACACAGAAGGGUACAGGAACCCUCCAUAAAACCCAGAGAAGAGACUUACGCUCCUCUUUGGAUCCUGUCUGGAGUCACAGCU
rnacentral:snoRNA from 13 species